GUAAAAACAAAUAUAGAACAAAAUUAAAAGUCCAUACAGAGUCCAAGAUUUGACUCAAAUCUUGGACUCUGUAUGGACUUUUAAUUUUUGUUCCUAUA